ensembl:rRNA 5S_rRNA 5S ribosomal RNA
AUCUACGGCCAUACAACCCUGAGCGCGCCCAAUUUCGUCUGAUCUCGGAAGCUAAGCAGCAUCGGACCUGGUUAGUACUGGGAUGGGAGAUAAUCAUGGUCUCUUACCUA